AGUUAGUACCUAAGAAGAUAAAGCAGAGUAUUAAAAAUCCAUGUACACUCUAGUGAAAAUGUCCAGACUUUGUUGGAGUGAGAGGCUCAAAGCACCUGUCAAGGUACGCUAUAAUGAGAAAUGAUCAUGACUGGAAUGUUCUCCUUUAUCUCACCAGCUCUAUAACCCAAAUUUUAUCAAAGACUUCAGGCCUGAAGAGCUCAGACCGCAUUUUGUCAUUAAUAUUCACCACCAUACCCUUUAAGGGUAUGGGUAUGUGUUAUUAGCAUCACAUUUCAGAUGAAAAUACACCAUGAAAAGAACCAUAGCAUUUGUGCCUGGCUUAAGGAUUCAGAGACUGCUUCCUUUUAGAACCAUCUCUUAUGUCUGAUUCAGCUUUGCCCUCCUGUAGGAAACAACACAGAUAAACCAAGUGGGAUGCUCUUUUCAGCCUAAUGUCCCCAGUGUCAAAGUCUGACUAAAAUAAUAAGAUCAAAGCCCUAGGACUAUGAUGAAAAUGAAAGUCCGUGAUGGAGCAAGAUUGGCAAAGAAGCUAUUAUGUAUUGGCCUAGAUACUCAAAUGUCCUUUGAAAAAUAUUAAAAAUACAGAUGUCUAUUAUUAUAUAAUAGCAUUAAGACCUAAACCUCAGCCAUCUUUAGAAAUCCAAGCAAUGGUCACCCAAGAGCUAGGCUUUCAAUAUUUUCCCUCUUUUCUUUUUUUCUGGUACUGAGCUACAUACCCCCGCCCCUUUUUUUGAGACAGGUCUUGCUAAAUUACCCAAUUGUCCAGAACUUAUGAUCUGCUGCAUCACAUUUGAUUCUAUUGUGACCAUUUAGCAUGAUCUUGAACAUACAAGCUGUAAUUUCACAGCUUCAAACACUUUACUGUGUCUAUGAAAUCUACAUUUUUUUUAAAAAGCCGGUCACUGACACCUGACAUGAACCACACCAACACUCACUGAAAAGACUGUAAGAAGUGUCAUCCUGGGUAAGUCAGUGGUGCAUCUGAUCGAGAAUUCUGUCACUGUUAUCUGAAACACUCAUGGGAGGGCAUGAGCUCUUAAAACUAAUGUUGCACUUCUAAGAACUUUGCCUCAUCAAUACAAAAAUCACAUAAAAUCAUUCAUUGCAGUGAUAUUUGUAAUCACAGAACCUGGGAACAAACUAAAUGGUUAUUAAUAAGCAACUGGUUGAACAGACUGUGGCACAGCCAUACAAUAGACUAUCAUUCAGCUAAAAAAAAUAAGAUCUUUAUGCAACAAUAAGGAAGAUUCCAAGGAUAUAUUGGUAAGUAAAUUAAAUAAUAUAUAUACACUCGAAUGUCCAUAGGAUGCCGCUAUCAUUCAAAAGCUAUGGGAUGGAUAUUUUUCAGACAUUUUGCACAUACUUACUGUGCAUCUUCUACAUCCCAGAAACUGUUCUAGCUACUGGGGACAUGGCAGUAAAGAAGAAAAUAGACCAAACUCCUAGCCUUCCAGAAGCUUAUUCUCAUUUUCUCAUGCCAGGAUACUCGUGUCUGAGGCCCCCUGACAAUUCUGUCUGUCUCAUUUGGGAUCUCUCAUGUAUACUUAGUCAGACAGCUGCUGGAGCUGGAGCCAACUAAAAAAUUAAUUAGAAUGCUGUACUACUACAAACUGCCUCUGAUGUCACAUGAUCUGUGUGUCUGUCUUCAUAUAGCCUUCUUAUAAAGAUGUCAGCCACUGGAUUUUGAGUCCAUCUACUUCAUUCUAACCAUCUUUCACACAGACUCUCCAUCAGAGAGAGAAAAUUCAUAGCCAGUUCAAAGUUCUCAGAAGCACAAAAAUGGAAGCUACCUGGCCUUAUAAAGUUAGUGGAAUGUGUCUAGCAAUAUUUUACAUGCUGAGAUCACAGUGGAGAACAACACAGGCACAAGACCCCAUGUCAAACAACUUUCAUUGUAGUAGAGACAAUACCACUGAAUUCUUGCUUAGAACUCUUGGUUGUUGUAGUAGUGUGGAAAAAAUAAUGAACUACAUCUGACACCUGGGCUCUCUCUCUGCAGUGAGUUCCAGACAGAGUAAAAGAUAACAUAACUCAAUCAUAUCCUGAACCAGACAGUCUGAAAUCCAUCGAUAUCUAGAUGUCUCCUCCAUUCAUACAAUUACUUAUCCUUGUUCAAAGAGCUCUCUAAUUUUUAUCUUCUUUAUAAAGUUUUUUAAAAUGGCUAAUGCUUUGGGGAUGAGUAAAGAGGUGAU
ensembl:lncRNA